rnacentral:lncRNA from 1 species
AUAUUUAUGUAUAUAACUGAUUCACUUCGCUGUACACUUGAAACUAAUACAACGUUGUAAGUCAACUAUACUCCAAUAAAAUUAAAUUUAAGAAAAUUGAAUGACAUACAGAUAAAUGGGCCUGCAGCAUUUUUAUAAAGUGUUUGUAAUUAUUUAUUUGGAGGAAAUAACUUGACCAGUUAGUUUUUCCGAUCACAAAACUGAAUCUCAUUUCUGUUUUGAGCCCCACCCGCAUUCUCUUUGGCAUCAGGAAGUAACUAUGUCUUUUCUAGGUAAUCACGUCAUAUCAGUCAAAUCAGGAUUUAAAUGUGGUCAAUUUAAGAAAUGAAAUCAGUCAUGUCAGUGCUUUUGCUCACCCCCCUUCUCUCCCUGAUUCUCAUGGGCUGAUGCGGCCUCCAGACAGCAGGGAGGGGAUAGGAAGUUCCUGGACUGUGGCCAUCCUUUGUCCACUGUUAGUGCUAUCUGGGUUUAGCUACCUGAUCUCUGGGUCUUAGCCUUUAAUCCUGUGUAUGGCCCCCAUCUUUGGGGUUCCAUCAUACAUUCACUGAUAUUCUCUCUCAUCACGACUGCAGGAUUCCAUCACUCUGCUGGUUCCUCUCAUUCCCUCUGAGCUCUUUGAGACGUGGGAAAUUCCAAACGUUCUCUCUCUCCUGCUCACAAGGGCUGGUUGUAUGGAUCUUUUCGCAUCUUGCAUUCAAUGACAUCGCCUUGGUAGUUUGACAUUAGCUUUAGGAAGUCUUUACACCAUCUGAGAAACUCUAUGUAUUAGUUUCCUGAUGGUUCUGUAAAAAGUUCCACAAAUGUAGUGGCAUAAAACAACACAAAUUUACUGUUUUCUCUGACAUCUCUCUCUCUCCCCCCGCCCCCCGACCCCGAUAAUCCAGGAUCAUCUCAAAGUCCUUGAAUUAAUCGCAUCUGCAAUGUUCCUUUUGCCAUCUAAGGUGACAUCUUCACAGGUUCUGGGGAUGAGGCAUCACCUUUGGAGAGCUGUCACUCUAUCACACCCUAAAAUCAGAGAUUUUUAUUUUCAAGGGAGCUAGCUGUUAACUGUUUACCAGCACACAGACUCCCUAAGAUUCUUUGGGAGACUAACGGAGAAAGACCUGAAUCCUGGUGGGAGGCAUGCUGCACUGCAACAUUGCCGUUAGUGCUCCCAUACCUUUUGCUACAUUCUGCUGCGUAGGGACAUUUGUAAGGUUUUUGCCCCUGGCCAAUGGGCCACAACUACGAUCUCGCACCCAAGCUUCUCUGGGUGUCUUAUCAAGACCCAGGCUGAAGGUUGCCUGGUAGAGUAAAACGGCCCCAUUGCUUCAGCCAUCCCUUCUCUCUAAUUUCCCCUCUUUCUUCAGCCAUUGACAUUUAUCUCGUUUUGGAAGGGAAAACUUGCUUUUAUGUCAUUACAUUCAUCCUAAAACGACACUCAUCAAGUAAACUUUUUCUGUCUCCUAGGUCUUAGUUCUUAAUAGCUGAAGGCAAGCUUUUAGAAUUGAACAAACCUUUUCCUUCUCAAAAAGCCAGUUUCUCACAAAUGGAAAACACCUUUCUUUGAAGAUUCCAUUUAUUUCCAAGUUUCAAAGCCCCUAUUUUGAACCUCAAAGCCAAUAAAUGCUGUUUUGCCAUCCUUCUAAAGCAGUGACAGCCACUGAAUAAUGAAUGGGUAGAGGGUCUCCAGGCAACUAGAAUAUAGUAGAGCAUUUUUUAUCUUUUGACGUAGCUAACAACAUGGUAGAACAUGUAUCAAAAUGCCAGGCAGGUGGUACAGCUAAUACAUGCUGUCCAAGUUUAGAGGUUGGGUGGGGGCUACAGGUGAGAGAAACCUCCAUGGUACUGGAAGGCCUGGAUUAGGCCAGGGUGGGUGGUUUGGUAUCAAGCAGGAAAAAACCAGAUGGUCAGGCAGGGACAGGCAUGCACACGGGAACAUGAGUUCUUCAGUCUGCCUGAGGGGGGGCGUUUAUGUGGGGAGGUCCUGGUGAAAUGGAAUAGCUAAGGCUUUGCGUGGCAGGCUGAAGAGUUAGGACCUCAUCUCUAGUGCCAAGGAGGUGGCUCUGUGGACGUGCUCUGAGCUCUUGGUCACCCAAGUGGAGGGGUGUGGCUGCAACUUACCUUUCUGAACCCAAAGCUUCUCCCAGCUCUACAGCAGCAGAUAGCAUCUUGGUGGUGCCCCUUGUCUCAUGGCCAAACCUUUGCACAUACAUCACAGAUACUUCCCCAAGCAGCCCUGAGAAGCAUCUAUGCUACCGUUUCCACCAUCCAGGGGAGGAAAUGACCUUAGCAUAUUUUAUUUUAUUUUUUCUUGUCUUUUUGCUAUUUUUGGGGCUGUUCCCAGGCUAGGGGUCCAAUCAGAGGUGCAGCUGCCGGCCUAAACCACAACCACAGCAACGCGGGAUCUGAGCUGCGUCUGCAACCUACACCACAGCUCACAGCAACACCGGAUCCUUAACCCACCAAGCAAGGCCUGGGAUCGAACCCACAACCUCAUGGUUCCUAGUUGGAUUUGUUAACCACUGAGCCACGGCGGGAACUCCCCUUAGCUUGUUUUAAAAUUCUCUUAUAAGCCUUUUACUUCUGUAUGUGCAUGUGUUUGUGUGUGUGGUGUGUGUGUAUGUAAGGUGGGGCAUGCUUGUGGUAUGUGUGUAUAUAUUUGUAGGAUAUGUGUAUAAGUGGGGUGGGCGUGUGUGGGGUGUGAAUGUAGGGUGGGUAUGUGUGGAUGGUGUAGGGUGUGUGUGGGUGUGUGCGUGCACAUGCAUGUGCAUGCACACACAAGCCUGUGUGUGCACACACUCCUGUGGACUUGUGCUGCGGUAUUCAAGAACCCAGCUCUGGAGUAGAAUGCCAGAUUGAUGACUGGCUCCACCGCACGGGUGAAUUACUUAAUUUCUUUGUGCUUUCGUUUGCUUAUCUCUAAAAAGAGGAUAGUGAGAGUGCCACCUUCCAAGUGAUGUUGUGGGUUACUCCACCUGGGAUACUUGGAACAAUUCUAGCAUGUAGAUGACACUCAAUAAAUACUAGCCGUCGUCUUGCUCCCAUCGCAGCUCCUCAGGUCUUCUGGUGCCUUAAGGUCUUUGCCUUUUCGGCUAGCUGAUGCCCCUUUGGAAGGAGCAAGCGGUGACAGUUUGUUAUAGAACCAUUAGAUCCAAACUAACAGAGAUUUUUCUUCUUCAUGUUCUGGCUGAUGUUCAGCAUCACUGCUCAUCUUUGGAUUCAUUUAGAUUCUGACAACACACCAAAUCCUGGUUUUUCAGACACCUGUCCCAGCUGAUGAGGAAUAGGAGGCAGCCCUCCACCAUGCUCCAUUAGGAAGAAAAGGAAAACAAAUAUUUUACAAGGGACACAAGGAAGGUGGCUCGUUAGCCACCACCACCUCCACCACAACUCGUUAAUGUGUUUGGUAAGAUGCAGGAUGUUUGCUGCUUAUGUAACCUUUUGUUCUGAAGAGAAAAAUGCCCCUGAAAACCAGAAUAGUAAAAAUUCCUCUGGAAUCAAUGAGGAUGCCUCUGGCUGAUGGUUCACAGACUGACAUUAUGUGUGGGUAGCAAGGAGCCAGGGGGUGAGGAAAACAUAUUUUCCCUUAUUUUUCGCAGGAUCCAGAGUGGAUUUUAGGGCAUGGGCAGUGAGAGUCCACCUGGAAGGCAUUUUAUGAAUAUCAGGAUCAUCUCAUCUAGACUAUCAGUCAGAAACUAAUCAUAAUUUAAUUAAGAAAUCUGUCAAAUUUUUGUCACUGGACAAAUGCACAAAAAGUAUUGUGUAAAAUAUAUGUUUACCUCCUGCUGAUCAAACAUAGUCACCUCUUGUCCUUUUCUAUUCCCUAAUCCUGCUCUGUUUUGUCAACUCUCUUCUCUAGACUGUAAGGUUGACAGGGACAGAAAUUUUGCUUCUCUUGAUCAUGGCUGUAGUUACAGUUUCUGAAAUGGCCCAGGCUCAUUGUAGGUGCUCCAUACUCAGGUGU